rnacentral:misc_RNA from 1 species
GAUGAAGAACGCAGCGAAAUGCGAUAAGUAAUGUGAAUUGCAGAAUUCAGUGAAUCAUCGAAUCUUUGAACGCACCUUGCGCCCUUUGGCCAUUCCGAAGGGCAUGCCUGUUUGAGUAUCAUGAACACCUCAACUCUUUAUGGUUUUCCAUGAUGAGCUUGGACUCUGGGGGUUUUGCUGGCUCACAGUCGGCUCCUCUAAAAUGAAUCAGCUUACCAGUGUUUGGUGGGUAUCAUGGGUGUGAUAACUAUCUACGCUUGUGGUUUUUCCACCAGGUAACCUUCAGCAGUGGAGGUUCGCUGGAGCUCACAGAUGUGUCUCUCCUCAGUGAGGACAGCUCUUUGAAUGUUUGAUCUCAAAUCAGGUAGGACUACCCGCUGAACUUAAGCAUAUCAAUAAGCGGAGGA